UAUUGGAGAAGAGUUGGAACCCACGGCUAAUGAAAUAUGAAAUGGUUUGGAUUGUAUUCUUUUUUAUUUCUCUAAUUCAAAGCUUGUAGGAACAAUAGGUGUGACCCUUUCUUUUAGCUGAAUAUUAACCCUCAAAUACAAGUAUGGCAGCAACGUUUUUUUUUCCCUCUAAAAGAAAACACAGUAGUAACGUUAUUUUCCAAAGCAUGGCAGCAAGUUGCCUUUCCAAAAGAGAAUAACAAUGUUUCCAGUUACGUUGGGGAGAUCGAAGGUUGCUUCGUAGUGAAAUAAAGCGGAAGAAGAAAUUGCGAAAUUUGAGCAAUUAAGAAUAGAAAUUCCUCCGAGAAAAAUAAGGUACACCCAGAUAAGUAGAAGAUUUUGCUAAAGGUGUUCCAGCGGGAUUGGCGAGCUCCAUCUCAGUUCGGAGUGUUGCCGGGUCGAAGUACUUAUGUCAUGGUAUUUUGUAUAUGUUAGAGACUUUGCAGACAGUGUCCUGUGGAUAGGGCGUCGAGAGGUGCGAAUCAUUUGUAGAUGUUAAAAAAAAAAGUAUGUAUUUUCAGGUGAUCUCAGUUGGUAAAAAGUACGUAAUUGAUUGAAAGUUUUCAUAAUCUGUAUUAAGACAAUGAUCUCUAUUUGGAAAAGUUUCAUGUUUUAAAAGUUUUUGAAA